rnacentral:rRNA from 1 species
AGGUUUACUCAUUGGUCAGGCUUAAUUGUCUGUACUGGUGAGAUGGAUCUCUACCUUCUGAGGAACUUUCAUGCCAUUUAUUUGGUGUGAUGGGAAAUCAGGACUGUUACUUUGAAAAAAUUAGAGUGUUUAAAGCAGGCUAACGUCUGAAUACAUUAGCAUGGAAUAAUGAAAUAGGACGGACUGAUUCUAUUUCGUUGGUUUCUAGGAUCACCCUA